UGGACUUGCCUGGGGCAGACGCCCUGUACGACGGCAUCUUGAAUUUGGGCAUUUUGAACUUGCUGUCUUUGGCAGUCACAUCCUUGUCGGCCAGGGACAGGUCCCCCUCCAGCCGUGCACCAUCCAACUUGGCUCCUGGGGCCUCGACAUCCACCUCCAUGCCGGGCUGAGACACCUCCACGUCGGGGGCCGUCACGUCCGUCUUCGGGCCUUUCAGGUCCAGCUUGGGGCCCUUGACGUCUAUCUGGGGGCCCUUGAGAUCCACUUUGGGCAUCUUGAAACUGGGCAUCUGCACCUUGGGCAGGUGCCCUUUGAGGCCGGCUCCCUCGGGAACGUGGCCCUCUGGGAGUUUCACGUCCACCUGGCCAGCCUGGACCUCCAGUUGGGCGGAGGGGGGC
rnacentral:lncRNA from 1 species